AAAGUUGGUGGUGAAAUCCCAGAGCUUAACUCUGGAACUGCCAUCAAAACUUUUCAGCUAGAGUUUGAUAGAGGAAAGCAGAAUUUCUAGUGUAGAGGUGAAAUUCGUAGAUAUUAGAAAGAAUACCAAUUGCGAAGGCAGCUUUCUGGAUCAUUACUGACGCUGAGGAACGAAAGCAUGGGUAGCGAAGAGGAUUAGAUACCCUCGUAGUCCAUGCCGUAAACGAUGUGUGUUAGACGUUGGAAAUUUAUUUUCAGUGUCGCAGCGAAAGCGAUAAACACACCGCCUGGGGAGUACGACCGCAAGGUUAAAACUCAAAUGAAUUGACGGGGACCCGCACAAGUAGUGGAGCAUGUGGUUUAAUUCGAAGAUACGCGCAGAACCUUACCAACACUUGACAUGUUCGUCGCGACUUUAAGAGAUUAAAGUUUUCGGUUCGGCCGGACGAAACACAGGUGCUGCAUGGCUGUCGUCAGCUCGUGUCGUGAGAUGUUGGGUUAAGUCCCGCAACGAGCGCAACCCUCACUUUUAGUUGCCAUCAUUAAGUUGGGCACUCUGAAAGAACUGCCAGUGAUAAGCUGGAGGAAGGUGGGGAUGACGUCAAGUCCUCAUGGCCCUUACGUGUUGGGCUACACACGUGCUACAAUGGUAUCUACAACAGGAAGCGAAACAGCGAUGUUAAGCAAAUCCUUAAAAGAUACCUCAGUUCGGAUUGCACUCUGCAACUCGAGUGCAUGAAGCUGGAAUUACUAGUAAUCGUGGAUCAGCGUGCCACGGUGAAUGCGUUCCCGGGUCUUGUACACACCGCCCGUCACACCAUGGGAGUUGGUUCUACCUUAAGGCAAGGUUUAAUACCCUUGACCACGGUAUAGUCAGCGACUGGGGUGAAGUCGUAACAAGGUAACCGUA
rnacentral:rRNA from 1 species